GCGCCCCGCCCAUGCGGCCAGGGCAACCAAUGGCAACGCGUCGCCGGCGGGAGAUUUACGCUCCGGCCUGGGCGGUGCCUAUCCUGAUUGGCUGAGCCUCGGCGACCGGUGGACCGCCGGCAAUGGCGGGGUUUUCGGUUUUCAAACUCGCCAGGCGGGCGGGAAAGACCAGCCGGUUUAACUGACCCGCGGGAGAAAGGCGCCCAGCUGGAGAGUGGGCCAGCCAGGUGGUUCCUGCUGCGGGACCCCCACCAUUUAGGCUGGGAGAAGACAGGAAUUAAAUCUUUUCAGAAUGGUAAACUCCGUGGAGGUGAUAAAACGGCUCCCGGCCUUACCUUGCCCUUGACGUCGAGGAUGAAGACAGCCGAGGCGGACAUUGUGGCGGCCGGCGGACCUGGGAGGCGGGGAGGGAGCGCCGGGAGGCGACGGCGGCGCCGCUUCCUUCUUCCUGCGGAAGCGCCGGCGCGCAGGUGAGAGCCCAGGCCCUGCCCUCCAUGUCCUCCAAGUGGGAAUCCUCCUAGCAACAAUUAGAAACAAUGCCUUGAGCUCUGGAGGCCUAUUCCAUUCCACAGAUGGGAAAGCUGAGGCACCUAACCGCGCAGGAUACAACGCCUGCCCCUUUGUGCUUUCUCAGCCUCUUUCUCAAGCAGCAAGAAGGUCUCCUCUUCAAGGAGUCCUCUCUGACCUUCCAAUCCACGUCUAGGUCACGUCUGUUCUCUGGGCUCUCUCAAAUGUCCCAUGCUUCCCUGUCACAGCUGUGUUGCACCGUGUUUUUAAAAAUCUAUUAAAAAAAAAAACCCUUUUAUUAUCA